UGAAGCAGAUGGCAAGUUUGAAGAAGGAAUACCAGUGCUGGCAAUGGUAGUACUUUUUGUCUUUUUUUCCCCCCUGCCAUUUUAGGGCUUGAACCUAGAGAUGCUCUACCACUGAGCUAUAUCCCAUCCCUUUUUAUUUAUUUUGAAACAGGGUCUUACUAAGUUGCCCCCAUGGCCUCAGACGAUCCUCCUGCCUCAGCCGCCCAGAUACCAGGGAUUAUAGGCAUGUACCACUGCACCUGUCUAGAUAGUUCUCUUAAAGGUUAAAGCUCAAGUCAUAGAUGGAUAGGAACAGGGAGUUCAUGAGAAAUCACUUUUGAGCCAUGAGAUAGGUUUAUAGGAUGAUGAAAACAUUAAUUUAUGGACUCUCCUCAGUGCUUUUAUCAUAUUCUCUUUGAAUCUUCAUUUUCACAUGCAUUCCUCAGAGAUCCUAUAUUACAAUUAGCAUUCCUAUCUGUUGCUCCUUCUAGAUAGUGAGCUCCUUCAAGAAGCUUUAUCUUGGUAUCCCUACUAAUAGACCUUUAACAUAUACUUGGGUCAGUAAUGAAACAAAGUAACCAUAAGGAGUUACAGAUAGUUGUGCCAGAUUUUUAGUAAACCCUAAAUGGCAAGCUACAGGAGCUUCCGUCUCUGGAUAAGGGGUCACUAGAGGUUGAGGUUUAAGAAAGAUGUAAAAAAGUUGGUGUUAGGAAAAUUCCUGUGGGAGGAAUAUUUAAGAAGAGGCUAAAGGAAAAGAGAUUAAUUUUCUGAUAAAGCCCGGACCACUAAAAAUUCAUUAAGUGAUAAAGACAAAAUCUAGCUCUUAGACCCAAUAGAAGGGGGAAAAUGUUGGGAAGUCUCCACAAUUUCUCUUUCCUCUAUGAAUAACUAAAGGAAUAGAAAUACUAAAGGAUUUUUUAAAUUUAAGAGUGAAUAUUUUCUAGUUAAUUUUGAAGUUUUAGUCAUGGGAAGUACAAGGCUGAGCUGUAGUUUAUGCAGAGGAAUGAAGUCUUUCAAGACACCGCAGAGAUGUUAAUGCAACCUCUGAAACCUGUGUGCAGCUUCCUUUCAUAUUCUCCAUUACAAAGGAAAUGAAGCUUUGUUUCAUCAAAUGCGUUUUUAUUUAAGAGAAUAUGUAACAUUGCAUUUUAGUGACUGUUACUUCUGUA
rnacentral:lncRNA from 1 species